UACAGAGGUCUCAACCGUUGUUCGGAUUCAUUGGGCGUAAAGGGUGCGUAGGCGGCGGAGUAAGUCAGGUGUGAAAUCUCGGGGCUCAACCCCGAAACGUGCACUUGAUACUGCCUCGCUGAGUACUGGAGAGGAGACUGGAAUUACGGUGUAGCAGUGAAAUGCGUAGAUAUCGUAAGGAAGACCAGUGGAGCGAAGGCGAGUCCUCUGGACAGUAACUGACGCUCAUGUGCGAAAGCCAGGGGAGCGAACGGGA
rnacentral:rRNA from 1 species